CAGAAUGGAAGCAAACUUAUCCUGGACAUCCUGGGCCCCACACAGAACAGCCAUCUGAACCAUCACAGCCACUGCUGCCAGCCACAGCCCUCCGCAACUCCAUCACAGCCUAGAGAGGGAUCAAGACACUGAAGACCUAGGUUCUAAGAAAGAUACUAGCCAUCUGAGUUCUCCCAAGACUCCAGCCAUGUCCCUGAUCUGCUGGACACUGCAUUCUCAUUCCUUACCAGACACACAGGCCACAUGUCCUUCAGGAAGCCUUGAUCACCCGUCAGGUGCCACUACGCCACUCAUCAGGUACCGUCGCCGGGUCAGGUCCUCCUUGAAAGUUGCCAGAGCUGGGGGAGCGGAGACACAAGGUUGACAACAGCCAGACUCAACUCUUCCAGGAAUCAGAGCUUGAGGAUAGAAACAGAAGAAUCCUGGGACUGAAGAAGCGCGUGCUUAAAUAAGGGACUCAAUGUUUCAGCUGGCCGAGAAGACAAAAUGCUAGGAGAAGAGGGAUGCAGACAAAAAAAAAAAAUGUUCUUCAGUUCCACCCUCAAAACUGCAGGGCUAAAGAAUACAGGGGCUAUGACUGGAGCCAGGUGCCCACCUGCUUGCCAACCCUUUGCCACUUAAGCAGGGAUUCUGCAUGGGCACAAAGGAACCAAGGAUACAGGCAACGGAAUCUACUCACCUCAAG